UUGGCAACAAAUAUACUAAAAUUGGAAUGAUACAGAGAAGAUUAGCAUGGGCCCUGCACAAGGAUGACAUUCAAAUUCAUAAUGAUUUUCAUAUUUUU
ensembl:snRNA U6 U6 spliceosomal RNA